UAUAUUUACCUAACAUUACAACGAAAUUGUCUUUCAUGAGAUUUAAACUCUGAAGAGGCUGCAGUUUCAGGACCGCGAUUCUAGGACCCCAGCAUCACCUACCAAAUUUCACAACAAUGGACCGCAUUGUUACAUGGACAGUGUAUGCAUAUAACAAUCCAAGAACAAGAGAUCUUUGCCAGAAUUGAUAAGAUGCACUACAUGCUACAAGGACUUCCACUGCCCGUCCUGUAGCUCAACUAGCCAUUUCAACUGAGCAGUUCUUCAAGAAGGUUAAACUGAGAGGAAUUUCAUGAAGGAACACUUCCCUGCUGGGCUGAUACCAAUGGAGUUUUGCAAGACAGGUAAAACUUAUUUAUUCUACAUAGGAUAGUCCUCAGUAAUGUGUGUUUCAUCAUAAAAUGAUGAAAAUCAAUGACACUUUUGCACUUAAGUGUUAAA